rnacentral:lncRNA from 1 species
CAUCAAGGUCUUUCCAGCAACAGCAUAAUCCUCCCCAACAUUCGUGAUCACUUGAAGGACAUUUUCGGGUCCGACAUGUUCCACAACUUCUUUGAGGACAUUAUACAGAAGGUCUGCGGAAUGGUGGAAACUCGACGAAUCAACAGACUUCAAGAACACGGUCCCGUUUGAGGACUGGACCAUAAAGUUCAGCAGUACCCUACCAUAAUCCGAGGCCCUCUCCUCCACCAUUAUAGAACAACCCAUCCUCCCCCACGUUGACUUAUGCUUAUCGAUCUCGUCGCUCACUUCCU